GACGAACGCUGGCGGCGUGCCUAACACAUGCAAGUCGAACGGAACUGUUUUGAAAGAUUUCUUCGGAAUGAAUUUGAUUUAGUUUAGUGGCGGACGGGUGAGUAACGCGUGAGUAACCUGCCUUCAAGAGGGGGAUAACAUUCUGGAAAGAAUGCUAAUACCGCAUGACAUAUCGGAAUCACAUGAUUUUGAUAUCAAAGAUUUUAUCGCUUGAAGAUGGACUCGCGUCCGAUUAGUUAGUUGGUGAGGUAACGGCUCACCAAGACCGCGAUCGGUAGCCGGACUGAGAGGUUGAACGGCCACAUUGGGACUGAGACACGGCCCAGACUCCUACGGGAGGCAGCAGUGGGGGAUAUUGCGCAAUGGGGGCAACCCUGACGCAGCAACGCCGCGUGAAGGAUGAAGGUUUUCGGAUUGUAAACUUCUUUUAUUAAGGACGAAAAAUGACGGUAC
rnacentral:rRNA from 1 species